rnacentral:lncRNA from 1 species
AUUUCAUCGGCAAUCAAACCUUUCCCCCCGCCCCCCCUGUGGAGGUCACAUCUUUGCUACCACUGAUGCCGAAGCACCUGUAAAAUUAGCUGUGUUCCAGUCUUCCAAAAAUUGCCUUUUCGCUUUGUUUUUGUGCCCUGGUCUAGGAACCUGCGCUUCAACAACGGAGCUAAAUGAAUUCAGGGGGAGAUACCCCUCCCCCAAGCCGCACUCUAAAAAUUUUGGCUGAAUGUCUAAAGAAGCUAUGAGCACCCGGAGGCCUUUAAGGAAAACAGUCCACUGGCUGCACACAGCUGCAGCUGGGGGCAGGGAGGGGGAGGUGCUGGAGAGACCAAACAGCAUGUGUUUGUCAAGUUUCAGGGUCUCAAGCCUUUGGAAGGAUCCACGCAGCCCUGAGUGGGCACAUUGGACCCCAAGGACAGCUGGACGUGGUGCUGAUGUGGGGAGAACCACGCCUCGUACCUUCUCUGUGACUUCUUUUAACUUGUGCCGGAACCCACACACCUGGAGCACGCAUCUGUGUCUGAGCCAUUGAUCCAUCUCUUCCACGUUGCCCACUCACGUUCAGUUGGGUUCAUUAAAGGGUUCCAGUCUUCAAAAUCAUUCAAAGCUGAUGGCUUUAUUUCCUGCUGCAAAACCUCCUUCCAGGCACCUAACAGAAUCAAGACAAACUCCUUAGCUUGGCGCACAAGGCUCCUGGGAAACUGCCUCCAAGCCCCCUUUCUGCCUCUUCCUGCCUGCCCCUUAAUUCCUUUCUGACCACGUUAAAUCCCUCUUUGUUCUGAACCGACAUGAACUCUCAAGCCCACGCCUUUGCAGGGCUCUUUGCUUUGCCUGGAAAGAAUGCUUUCCCGUCUUCUUCUUUGAGCAAACUUCUACGCAUCUUUCAAAAAACCCAACUCGGUUUUCACCUUUCCUAUGAAACUGGUCUCCAGCAUUUCCCUGCUCUUACUCCAUGACGGUCUGCCCUGAAUCUGUAACACAAAGAGUUGUAGUUAUCUGUUCAUACAACUCCCCCAUUGGGCACUUGUGAAGUUCAAGACCAGGGCUCACCCUUCUUGCCCCAAAAUCAUCUAGAAGGCCCUAAAUAAAUGCUAAUAAACACAUACUUUAAUUUCA